GUGUGAAAGCAACCCUUUUCAGUCUUCACUUCUCUUUUGAGUGUUCAGUUCUUUUUUAACUCUGCUGUUAAGCUUCUAUUAUUUUUCUGUCUUGUGCAUAUGUCUCUCUCUCUCUCUUUCUCUCACUCUCUCUCUUUUUCUCUGUUGCACUCUUACUCCCUCUCCCUCGUCACGAACUUUCUCUCUAUUUUUCAUCUCUUGCUUCAUUUUUUCACUCCGUCUGUUUGAAGCGCUCUUUUUUUUCCAGUCGUACCCCCUGUUUAGCUUUAUUCAUGGGAGUUUAAGACAAAAGGAAACGUCCAAAUUUUGGCACUGCUAAGGAGUCAGAACCGCAGCCAAGGACCCUGCUGGGAUCCAAAAAAACCCGAGCACAGCGAAGCGCCAAAAAAAAAAAAAAAAAAAAAAAAAAGAAAACACCACCCUUUCCUUUGCAUGGUCACAAAUUCCACUUUCUCUGUAGCCAGGGCAGUGCUGAACCUCCUUCUCGACCGCAUCUCACCGCGUACGACCUUUCCGCCUUUUCUCUCCCACGGAAUCUUUUUUCAAAUCCGUUUUGGGGUUUUCGUUUCCCGGUAAAAUGUGGAUAGGACAGCCGGACAGGAGGUUGAAAGAGCCAGGGAAUGAGGGGACAGUGUUUUGAGGCACUCUUGUCGAUGACUUGGCGCUAUCCCGUCGUUUGAAACAACACUGUUAUUUGGCUGCUUGCGAUUCUCCUUUUUUUAAGUUUCAGGAAACAUUUCUCGUCUUCUCUGCGGUUUAUUCAUGUUUUUGUUUGGCGCUGGAAUCGGCCUACCCUGUCCCCUAAGCCUGACUCCAUUUUGAUCACAGGUGAGGACAGACCGCCCUUUGCGGACACGGCGCUGUUCAGCAUCGUUGCCACUGGCUCGUGCGGUACUGGCCCACUGGUAUGUGUCUCUUCUUAUUCCCUUCUGCUUCCCUCUCCAUUCACUGUCCACCUUAUCACUUCACACAAGCCAAACAGCCGUUUGUGCCUCUCUCACACUAAUGGUUUUGAUGCGUAGACUUUACGACUUGAUGCUGAUAUAUUGUGUGAUCAGAUCCUCUUGGCCAUACAAAUGAAUAAAAGUCCGAUCUUCGCUCCCACACACCUCUGAAUCCCAGUGUCCUCACAUACAUUGAAGUAUUUUUUUUCCUUAUAAACAGCUACGGUUCCUUUGAAACUUUCAAGCAUGUAAUAAAACACAAAUAAUUCCAAUUGCGACAGCUGCAAAAUUGGCCUUUGUGCUGAAAAGUUGUGAGGCGUGAUGUAAAUGUUUACAUUUGAGUUAGCUCUGACUCUUGCCUUCUGUAGGAUCCCAAGUAAAUACAGUAUGCAUACAUGCAGACCGCAGAAUAGAUAGUCAGAGUUAUCAGAGUAAUGAAAAUGUCUGUUUGCUCUUGCAACAUUCUAUUUUCACUCAUAUUCCGCAAUGUUUCAAACAUCUCAAAUGGUUUUCCAACAGUCGUUUUCAUCAAAAUCAAAAUCCGUAUCAAAAUAUGAUCAAUAUAUUUCAAAAUAACUGUUACACUGUCAAGAUGCAGAUUUCAUGACAGUAUUUCUCAGUACUUGGUCUAUUGUUUGAUCAUAUCGGUUGAUAAAUGUCAGAGGGGAGUGGCAGAACCCUGUGUAUUUUGCUACAUUGAAUUGCAGCUUGUUGCAUUCAGAUAUUUUUGUAUUCUGGCACAAGAACCCUAAUGGAUAAUGGAUAUUUGGUGCAGUGCUCCUUUUUGAAUCUGCAUGGGCAAGCCAAUAGGGUUUUGAACGAUUUCACACAGACCAGAUUUUAUGAGUUGUUGUGUAAUCGCAAUAACUCGUAUAGUAAAAUCAACAUAUUUGAUUAAAAUCAACGUAUUUGAACAGAAUGACAGGAUUGGGAUAAUAACACAUGUCAAGGUCGGUAAAAAACAGCAUAGCAACAUUUUUAUAUAGUCAUGUACUUUUUUCUUCCAAGCGAAGAAACUAUGUAUGUCACAACUUUGAUGUGUACUUUAAGACUUUAUAAACACUUUAAUUUAAUUCAUUCCUUUUGAAAGUUUGAUUAGGACAGAGGUUUAAGUUGCUGGAAUUUUAAGGUGACCUUCAAACCUGAAAAUAUCCCAGCAGUUACAGACUGUACAGAAUUAUGAUACUAAUGUGAUCUGUAUUGCUGUUCUAUACUAAAAAUGACAGUCUUUACAACAUUUAUCUGGCGAAUUGUACACCAGGUAUAUGCUAAAAAUGUUUUCUUUUCAAAGAAUUUGAAGUAACAGAACUAUUGCUCAUUAUAACCAUUGAACCAUCAUAGUUGAGGCAAACUACCUUCAUAGCAAGAGAGGUGUGUUGCCCCAUAGGUGUCUUAUAUGUCCUUCAUAUGAUGUUGUAUAGUCUGUAUGACAUUGUCCCACUUUGUAGCACAAUAUGAUACUUUUGACCCGACCCUCAUCUGGUCCAUUGCAAGUCAUUUGUGAAUUGGAUUAUGUUGUAUUACUUCCUCCUAAAUUAUUAGUUUGGUUUGUAAAGUGUCGUGUUUCACUUGGACAACUUUUUUUUUUCAUUUAAUUUUUGAAGUGAAAGAUACUGUGAGUUUUAGUAUGUGUGAUAAAAGGUCAGCGCUUACAAUUUCUUUCCAUUCACACAAAGUUGGAUCGCAUGUGGUACACUGUCUAAGCCUUUUAACAUGUUGUAAUGAUUCUUGUUUCUUUUUUGGUAAUUUUUUAUUUAUUUUUUACUCACUGCUUAAAACUCUGUUCCAACGUGGAAGGGGAAAUGCCAGCUGCCACAAACCCGUAGAUCCGAACUUGUGGUGACUGGCAACACAAGCUCGUGUCUAUAGGUAUGUGUCUGCAGGGCCAGGACACCACACCGGGCUGCCAGAUCGGGCCUUACUCACCUUCCAGGGGCUCAGGCAGGCCUUACCGUACGUGUCUGGUGCACAUCCAGCAAAAGUCCGCUUGUUUAAGGAGACGCGGUUGAGGACAUGGGCAUUGAAUGUGAACCUGACUUACUAGGGCCACGGGUUGGGGACUCUUUGGGCGUACGCUCUUGGAUGCCUGUUCCCCCCGCCCUUUCGUACCUCAGUCCACCCCGCCCAGGCUAAGCGCUAACCUCAGUGGCCACACCCUCUCUGCGGCGUGCUCCCAGGCUGAGGUAGUAGGUUGUAUAGUUGAGAGUUACACCAUGGGAGAUAACUGUACAGCCUCCUAGCUUUCCCUGAGAUAUCGCUCGGCGCCAUCCCGGGACACGGCCUCAGAUGCGUUAAAGCGUUGACGUCAAUCUACAGCUACAGCAGUGCAGGGGUUUCUGCUUGACCUGAUCAUGCUGCACCAACUGCAGUACCUAACCCAAGAGCCAAUUGGCAGGCUCCAUUUUGUUGACCUCACUCUGAAUGUGAAGGACAUAGGGAAUGACGUAGAACUGUGCCCUUAUCAGACAUAUUUCGAAUGCACAAAAUAUUUCACAUUAUAUUCACACAUCACAGAAAUAAGUAAGCAACAAACAAAUCCAAAUUCAGAAGAAGGAUCCAAGUUCAGAUGAGGACAGUUCUAGAAAGUUAUAUAUAUAUAUAUAUAUAUAUACACACAAAACAAAAAAGUAAUACAAAGUUUUAAUAUUAUGAAUGCAUCUGCAACCAAUGGCAGUACAAAAUAUCCCCCUGAAAAACAUGCCUAUUAUUUGCAUACCAUAAUACCAAGACAAUGAACUUACAAUGCAUAAGAUAAAUGUCUUUUUCAUUUCCAAUGAUUGCCUUUGUAAACACAAUACAUUAUUUGUUCUUAAAUAUGUGUCUAUGUAAAAUGUAUCAAGAGCAAAUAGUUACAAACAGUUUUUUUGAUUAUGAGCUUCUUGGGCAACUUUUUUUUAACAUGUUCACACACCCCAAAACCCUGUUGAAUGAAAUGGGUGUGCCUCGUUACAAGAUGGAAAUAAAAAGGCUGUCAUAUCAGUACCCAGCCAUUAUGCUGAUCCAAGCGCCUCACGGGUUCUUGUUGACCUCAGACAGGUGUGGUCUGUGGGUUUCAAAAACGAUCCAUCUUGUGUUUCAUCAGUCAAGCAAAAAAGCAAACAUGGUGUUGAUGUCACUGAGUGUCAGUUGUUUAGAUGGAACUGGCUUACUAUCAACAAUCUGGCAUUAGGAUCAUUUUAGAUGUGGUUUUGGAUGAAGCAGCGCAGCUUAACAUUUGUUUGAAAUGAAUGGAUCACAUCAGAGAACAGGACAAGUUCUCAAGUUCUGGUGGGAAGAAAGUUUGAAUUUGGAAUCGGUUGGAAAUGUUGCACAAUAAAUUAUUGCGUCAGAAAAAAAUAAUUAAACUUUUUUUUAAGUACAUAUGUCAAGAUAUUUGCUUCAUGUGUAAAUAUGAUGUAAACUGAUAUGUUCAUAUAUACAUCGAGGCUAGUAAUUUAGCUUUCAGUUUUACAUAUUGUAAGAGUCUUCUUGUGUGUGUGUGUGUGUGUGUGUGUGUGUUCAUAGAAAGUGUUUGUAUUCCAGCAGACAUGAUGCCAGAGUGGCAGUGUCUCAGACAUGGUGGUUCACAAGCCAAUGUUCAGUUUACAAAACUUCAUCUCAGGUCAUCAAAACUGCCUUUGCUCCUCCAGUCAGAUUUACACUGACACUUUGAAAACAUGUUUCCCUGCCAAUAAAACAUUUGUUUUACUCUUCCAUUUGAGUUUGACGUGAGAGAGAGAGAAAGAGAGCCUCAGAUGCUCGAUGACUGAAUUAGUUGUCAUCCUGGGAAAUUAUUACUGUCUUCACAUAGAUUUGAAGCGUGAUUCAGCGGCCAAAUUUGUACAAAGUUCAUGUUGACUGCAGAAAAAAAAAGAAAUUCUGGCUGAAGCCAUGUGGUAAUGGGAGCGACGGAAAGGCAAAAACAACUCCCAUAAAAAAUCCCAACCAAAUUAGAUGAAGUGGCACAAGCUAUCCAGUUACUGUUAAAGUAAGAAACACUGAGGCAAUGCUACCCUACCACUGUCCUUAAGAGUCACCAGAACUCCGGCAAGCCGACUUGCCAACGUUUACCAUUAGAUACUUCCUUCACAGCAGCACGUUUGGUGUUUUUCAUUGGAGUUAUUGAUUUAGACAUGGAGGGGAAGCUGGUGUAUCUGUGUGAUAUUUUUAUGAGCUUUCUUGUUAAGUGCCUUGUUUAGUGUGGUCUCACAUAAUGUACAGCUGGUCUAGUCAUACUCCUGCUAAAUCUACAUCAUACGCGCAGAUGUAAAUGCAUUCAGCGCAAGUGCUUUGCAGAUGUGCCGUGUUCUACAGAUGUAGGGUAUGCACAUCGAACCGCCGCAAGUGAUUUAUCAGCAUGGUGAAAUUAUGGUGACCGAUACUAACAUGACUACAAUACUAGCAGAAUUAGAAAUCGAAAUGCAUCCUGUUGGUAUUAUCAGACCUUUGUUGACCAGAGUCCUCUAUGAGUCGACAAGUCAUUAAAUCCUAAUUAUAUUUGUUUCAUUUUCACACUUCUUUGCGGUCAUAUUUUCUUUGAAGCUUUGCUUUCACUGUCCUUUUGUCUUCUUUGUCGCCCAUCCUUAAGGCAACAGAUAGUAUAGUAUUGGAAGACAAUAGUUCCAUUGUGUUCAGAGGGAUUUGUCACAGCAAUGCGUUUUAAGCAUGACAUCACAGCCAGGGGCGGAAGAUUAUUUUCUUUCUACGGGUUGUUAAUAUUUUAUUAUCAUUUUACCAUUUGCUAGUGUUUGUGGACAACAACUUGUCAGUUUGUCACAAAUGCUGUUCUGUUAAUACUUUUCCAUGUGGUAAGCGGACUGAGGGCAUGCUGCCUCAUUGCUGUUGAAUGUAGCUAAUGAACUGAAUUUCACAGGUACAAAGAAACAACACGUGUUUCGU
ensembl:lncRNA